AAACUUGAGAGUUUGAUCCUGGCUCAGAACGAACGCUGGCGGCAUGCCUAAUACAUGCAAGUCGAACGAGAUCUUCGGAUCUAGUGGCGCACGGGUGCGUAACGCGUGGGAAUCUACCCUUGGGUUCGGAAUAACAGUUAGAAAUGACUGCUAAUACCGGAUGAUGACGUAAGUCCAAAGAUUUAUCGCCCAAGGAUGAGCCCGCGUAGGAUUAGCUUGUUGGUGAGGUAAAAGCUCACCAAGGCGACGAUCCUUAGCUGGUCUGAGAGGAUGAUCAGCCACACUGGGACUGAGACACGGCCCAGACUCCUACGGGAGGCAGCAGUAGGGAAUAUUGGACAAUGG
rnacentral:rRNA from 1 species